GAUGAACGCUGGCGGCGUGCCUAAUACAUGCAAGUCGAGCGAACAGACGAGGAGCUUGCUCCUCUGACGUUAGCGGCGGACGGGUGAGUAACACGUGGAUAACCUACCUAUAAGACUGGGAUAACUUCGGGAAACCGGAGCUAAUACCGGAUAAUAUAUUGAACCGCAUGGUUCAAUAGUGAAAGACGGUUUUGCUGUCACUUAUAGAUGGACCCGCGCCGCAUUAGCUAGUUGGUAAGGUAACGGCUUACCAAGGCAACGAUGCGUAGCCGACCUGAGAGGGGGAGCGGCCACACUGGAACUGAGACACGGUCCAGACUCCUAAGGGAGGCAGCAGUAGGGAAUCUUCCGCAAUGGGCGAAAGCCUGACGGAGCAACGCCGCGUGAGUGAUGAAGGUCUUCGGAUCGUAAAACUCUGUUAUUAGGGAAGAACAAAUGUGUAAGUAACUAUGCACGUCUUGACGGUACCGAAGCAGAAAGCCACGGCUAACUACGU
rnacentral:rRNA from 1 species